rnacentral:lncRNA from 1 species
ACAUUUCCCCGUCGGGGCGAGUAUGGCGAUGUUCGCAACGGCGUGUCUGGCAGCACUCGCGACGCUUCUAUUCAGUUUAUACAGAUGGAGGAAAAGGACAUUUUCUGUAUUCAAGGAACUCGGCAUUCCUGGGCCGGAGCCUAGCCUCCUUUUCGGCAACCUAGUUGAAAUCUGGAAGGAGGGCAUGGGUCCGUGCUCGAGCAAAUGGUUGAAGCAGUACGGAGACGUCGUGGGGUA